GACGAACGCUGGCGGCGUGCCUAAUACAUGCAAGUCGAGCGAAGUUUUUCUGGUGCUUGCACUAGAAAAACUUAGCGGCGCACGGGUGAGUAACACGUAAAGAACCUGCCUCAUAGACUGGGACAACUAUUGGAAACGAUAGCUAAUACCGGAUAACAGCAUUAACUGCAUGGUUGAUGUUUAAAAGUUGGUUUUGCUAACACUAUGAGAUGGCUUUGCGGUGCAUUAGCUAAUUGGUGGGGUAAAGGCCUACCAAGGCGACGAUGCAUAGCCGACCUGAGAGGGUGAUCGGCCACACUGGGACUGAGACACGGCCCAGACUCCUACGGGAGGCAGCAGUAGGGAAUCUUCCGCAAUGGGCGAAAGCCUGACGGAGCAACGCCGCGUGAGUGAAGAAGGAUUUCGGUUCGUAAAGCUCUGUUGUUAGGGAAGAAUGAUUGUGUAGUAACUAUACACAGUAGAGACGGUACCUAACCAGAAAGCCACGGCUAACUACGUG
rnacentral:rRNA from 1 species